rnacentral:antisense_RNA from 1 species
GUAUCCGGAAAACGCUGUAGGAAGAAUUUAAGUUUUUCAUCAAAAUAAUAUUUGUGAUCAACUGCUGAUUUUUCAGUAAGGGUUGAACUCGCCCAUUUCAUCUGAAAACGGAAAAGCUGAUCAAGGAAUUGCUGCUUUAAUUCAUCAAUGGAAUUUGGGCGAAACGGAAGCAAAGCUGUAAAUUGAAGCCCAAAUUCUUCCUUUUGUUCUUGUUCCUCAUCUCGGA